UGAAUGACAAGAUCCAUUGCUCAUUGGUGAUGGGAAAAUCCAGAGUAGCCCCAAUGAAGCCGACGACAAUACCAAGAUUGGAGUUAACUGCAGCGACAGUAGCCGUGAAGCAACAUUGUCAAAUUCGAGAAGAGCUCGACUUGCAAAUCGAUGCAACUAUAUUUUGGACAGAUUCUACCUGUGUUCUACAGUACAUAAACAACGAAUCUGGUCGGUUCAAGACUUUCGUCGCCAACCGAAUAGCCGCCAUCCACGACAAUUCAAGCCCAUCGCAGUGGAGAUAUGUGAACACUGAAGUAAAUCCUGCAGAUUAUGCUUCCAGAGGUUUGCGUCCCACCAACCAACACGAGAUAGAACAGUGGAUCAACGGACCGAAUUUCCUCCGUAAGACCGAAGAUACGUGGCCGAAUCGUCCCGAAGGAAUAAAUGUCCUACCUGAUGACAAACUCGAAUGGAAACGAGAGGUGGAAAUCUACGAGACACAAACGGAAGAAAUCAAGCCCCUCGACACCUUUAUUCAACAUUACUCUUGCUGGUAUCGCCUUCAAAAGGGAAUCGUGUGGCUAAAUCGUUUCAUCAAGUAUCUUCGUGUUCGUAAUUCCAACGGUGCUUCUUAUAAGAAUGAUGAAACGCAAGCGGACAUAAGUACUCGUUCCCGUGACGAAGUCACUGGGGCCGGCGUAGGGCCUUUGACAGUCGAUGAUUUACAAAAUGCAAGGAAACAACUUAUUCGUUACGUACAACAGGAAGCCUUUCCCGAUGAAAUUACCCGUCUUAAACGCAGAUCGAGCGGUCAAUCUACCUCGAAAAUUGUUGUGAAGAAAUCCAGCAAAUUGGCAGCAUUAUCACCUUUCCUCGCAGACGACGGUCUAUUAAGAGUUGGUGGCCGAUUGGAUAGAGCAUCAAUAAGUUUUGACGCCAAGCAUCCCGCGAUCAUUCCAGGCAAGCACCACAUUGUAGAACUGUUGAUACGGCACUAUCAUGAGCAAGAAGGACACUCGGGCGUUCGUACUGUUUUAUCGGCUAUUCAGCGUGAAUUUUGGAUUCUCCAAGGGCGUUCCAGGAUUCGAUGGAUCAUUGGCAAAUGUGUUCAAUGCCGCAAGAAAUACGCGUCGCCCUGUGAACAGAUAAUGGCGCCUUUACCAGCAGCUCGUGUAACUGUUCCAGAUUAUCCAUUUGCGUCAACGGGAGUCGAUUACUUUGGUCCUUUGAUGGUGAAGAGAGGUCGAAGUCAAGUCAAGAGAUACGGAUGCAUCUUCACUUGUUUGGCCAUGCGGGAAGCUCACAUAGAAGUCGCACAUUCUCUCGAUGCAGAAUCGUUUCUCUGUGCAUUCAGUCGCUUCACAGCCCGUCGAGGAGUUCCGAAGGAAAUCUUUAGUGACAAUGGAACCAAUUUCAUUGGAGCGUCAAGAAUCUUGAAGGAAGAGUUCAAGAAUAUUCAGUCAGUGGAGUCUCAAGCCAAGAUCAACGAUCGUUUACGAAUGAAAGAAAUCACGUGGCAUUUCAACCCUCCCUUGGCAAGUCACACUGGUGGAGUGUGGGAGCGCAUGAUUCGAUCAAUCCGAAGAAUAUUAACUGCACUGACAAGUGAGCAGGUUAUUGAUGACGAAGCACUUCUCACGUUCUUAGUCGAAGUGGAGAGAAUUCUCAACGAUCGCCCCCUGAAUCGUAACCAAGGUCAAGUAUGUGAUUUGGACCCACUAACUCCAAGCAAGUUGCUUCUGUUGAGAUCGAUCUCGUGUCUUCCUACAGGCGUGUUCGUUGGUGAAGAUCGUUAUAGCAAGCGAUGGCGACAAGCUCAACUUCUAGCUAACACAUUUUGGAAACGAUGGUUGGGUGAAUACCUACCUAGUCUGCAGCAGCGCCAGAAGUGGCUGAAACCCAGAAGGAACUUGAAGGUCAAAGAUUUGGUGUUAAUGGUGGAUAAGAAAUGUUCACGAGGACAGUGGCCUAUGGCAGUGGUCGAGGAAGUUUUUGCAGAUAAGGACGGAAUGGUGCGUCAAGUUAUGAUUAGAUCGAAUGGCGGGAAAUUUAAGAGACAUGUCCGUGAACUGUGCCUAGUCGAAGAAGCGAAAGAAGUCGAUGAAUAGUCGCAAGGUCUGGUAUAUACAAAUGUUUAUAUAUUUGUUGUUGUUAAACGAAGCCAAUCGAACUCGUACUUUGUUCCAGUUACUGGGCGUAGAUCCUUGUGUUUUGGUAUAUCGACUAUGUUUAUACUCGAUAGGGGCCGGUUUGUAGGAUCUAACCCGAAAAGUAGGGCCUAAUCGCCUGCGAGCAGGCAGGACAUCACGUGAUAAAAACACAUGUUGGUUUUAUAUUUUUUGAUUGUUUGUUCGGAUUACGAAGGGCAAAAGUCAGGUACAUUUGCAUGUUUUUGGUCCUGUUUUCUAUGUAUUUGUAAAGUAAUUUGUUUCUUGUAGCGUAGUUUAUAAUGUAUUUGUAUUGUUUCUAUAGAAACCACCUUUAAAGCGAUGUUUUGUAC